rnacentral:rRNA from 1 species
UACGAAGGGGGCUAGCGUUGCUCGGAAUUACUGGGCGUAAAGCGAGCGUAGUCGGUUAUUUAAGUCGGGUGUGAAAGCCCCGGGCUCAACCUGGGAAUUGCAUUCGAUACUGGAUAGCUAGAGUUCGGCAGAGGGAAGCGGAAUUUCCGGUGUAGCGGUGAAAUGCGUAGAUAUCGGAAGGAACAUCAGUGGCGAAAGCGGCUUCCUGGACCAGAACUGACGAUCAGGCUCGAAAGCGUGGGGAGCAAACAGG